rnacentral:lncRNA from 1 species
UUGAGACGAAAAAAGCCGUUUCAAAUCCGUCUCAAAAUAGGCAACAACUAUUUAUUUUACACAUAUUUUGAGACGGAUGACAUCCGUCUCAAUCCCGUUUCAAAUUUGAUGCCAAUAUUUUUUUAGCGCGCAUAUUUUGAGACAGGCUGCAGCCAUCUCAAAAUUCGUGUCAACUUGGACACCAACAUCGCAAAAUCUUUGAGACGAAAAGAAGUCAUCUCAAUUCUAUCUCAAUAUAUUUAUUAACAACAAAUUAUAAAUAUUUUCAUAAUUUAAUUUCAAAAUCUAAAAAUAAAAAUAUUCAAAAUAAUAAUGAUAAUUACUAAACUGUUAUUUAUAGACAAUACUAGAUAAGACAUCUAUAGAUGAGUACUAUUACAAAUAUCAACGUACUACAAGUCUAACCAAAUACAACAAAAGUAACUUCUAAAAACUACUGCUUUAAAGCUCAAAAAUAUGCAUAAUCACACCAUCAUAUCCCAUCCUCGAUGGUAAACAAAAGUAACUUCUAAAAAAUACUACCUAAAAGAUCAACAUGCAUAUACAUUCACGAGUCUCCAUCCUCGUUACUAUCGCCUGAAUCUUCAUCAUGCUCAUCCUCGACAUCAACAUCCUACAAGUAGUAGUACAUGGAAUGCAUGUCAAAUAUAUGAAAUGAAUGCAUGCAUUCUAAACAUAAAACUAAAAAAACUGAUUACAUACUAUGAUCUAUGAACAAACAUGAAUAACUUUCAGAUUGCACCUAUUUUAAGCAAUAAUCUCAACACAAGUUUAUACAUAAGGUGCAAAUAGUACUACACCAACGAAAUGAGAAACCAUAUAUAUGUAGGUAAUAAAACCUAAAGCAUAUAACACGUAAAUCUGCAAUCACAUUUGGGGUCAGAAAAAUUAAGUCAACCAGUCUUUUUGGCCCAUCAAUUCACGAUAGUGCGACUUUUAUUUAAACUAUAUGCUUUAUAUUAGUGUGCUUGUACUUGGGAACACCACCUUUAGCGCCUCUAGGAUUCAUUUAAUUA